AGGAGCAAACAGAUACUCAGAGAAAAGGGGGGAAAGCAGAGGAUGCUUCAAAAGCAAAACAAACAAACAAAACCAGAGGGAAUAAGUCCCUCUGCUUCAAAGAAACUCAAACCAAGAAAACUAAGCUGGUUUCCCUAGGAAAAACAGCUGCCCAUCAACCAAGAAUGAGUUUAU
rfam:Monodelphis domestica cont3.033447, whole genome shotgun sequence.